GUCUUCGGAUUGUAAAGCACUUUAAGUUGGGAGGAAGGGUUGUAGAUUAAUACUCUGCAAUUUUGACGUUACCGACAGAAUAAGCACCGGCUAACUCUGUGCCAGCAGCCGCGGUAAUACAGAGGGUGCAAGCGUUAAUCGGAAUUACUGGGCGUAAAGCGCGCGUAGGUGGUUCGUUAAGUUGGAUGUGAAAUCCCCGGGCUCAACCUGGGAACUGCAUCCAAAACUGGCGAGCUAGAGUAUGGUAGAGGGUGGUGGAAUUUCCUGUGUAGCGGUGAAAUGCGUAGAUAUAGGAAGGAACACCAGUGGCGAAGGCGACCACC
rnacentral:rRNA from 1 species